AUGUCUAUUGGCAGCUGUGGAUCCUGUGGAUAUGCUCUAAAUCUUUCAUCUUCUAACAGAAGCACAUCUGACGUAGGAUCCUCGUACCAAAAAUCUCUGAAGAAGGGUCUGAUUUCAUUCACUUCUAUUGAUCUCAGCCGUUUUACUCAGGUUGACGAGAUAUCUUGUUUUCCUUUCCUUACCUGGCGUAGCUACCGGCCGAAAACUAAGCUUCUGUGCCGAAAAUGUGGAUCAUCUAUUGGCUAUGGAUAUGGUGAGCCACCUGUAUUGUGUAGCUUUGAUCCAGCAAGUUCUUCCUCUGGUACAUCCCAAAACUAUUUAAUAAAGAUCCAGGCUCUCCGACUUUCAGACGGUACUCAAUAA
rnacentral:rRNA from 1 species